UUUCUUUCCCUUUCAAUUUGCUGCCUCUAAACAGUCGUGAUUAUAUCACCUUCCACAUGCUGGUGCUUGCCAGGCACCUUCUGGGUGGUAUGUAGGCAUUACCUCAGCUCCCCUCUACCAACCUGCAAGAUGAGUGUUAUAUCUCCUCUUAAGGCAACUGAGGCUCAGAAAAUGUAUAGAUUUAAGCUAAAGCCAUUACAGCGAGAGGUGGGAUUCAAACCCAGCAGCAUCUGUCCCAUACACAUUCUGUUUGAUGCAGAAACUCCACUUCUCAGAAGUGAUGCUACAGGUGGUCUUACAGAUGUGCAAAGUAGCAUGGAUACCAAAUUAUUCAUUACAGCAUUGUUUGUAAUAGCAAAAGGCUGAAAGUAUCCUAGCUGCCUAUCCACUAGGACCUGGGGUUAAACAAAUUAUUGUAUAACUACACAAUAGGCUGUUCAGCAGUCAGAAUGGGGAAGUCUUUAUGCCCAGAUAUAGGACAAUCUCCAAGAUACAGUGUAUUGUUAAAGUGGAGAGCAGUGUGUGUAGUAUGUGGGGGUGGGGAAGGAACAAGUCAUAGCAGCUCUAUCUGUAUUUAGGAGUCCACUGCUCUGUCAAGUUGCAGAGUGCAGGAUGGCUGUAAGGAGCUAGGAUAACUUCGAAGUGAUCUCAGUGCCCAAGGCCACCAUCUCCAAACAAGCCCAGUGGCUCCCACCCCCUGGAUAUUCUGGGAUGAAAUCUGAAUUUCCCUCACUUGUGGAUCCUCCUGGGGAAAAAAAACGUAAAAUGUUACAUUAUUUUCAUUUUCAUUUUUUUAUUGACUAGGUAGUCCAAACAUUUUCCCAGUGCAUCUGUUUACUGUUUAUAAACAAGCAGCACAAAUGAACAAACCAUAGCAUUUGUGUUUCCUUUAAUGGACCAGUCCAUUUGCAUCAAGAGGGCCCCAAGUCUUGGAGGGGACCUGAGGGGCUCCUCUUUGUCUCUGCAGGGCUGAGGCACCGGCGCGAGGUUGUGGGCAGGAGCGCCAUCUUCGGUGGGGAGCACUUCAUGCUGGAGGAGACUGACUGGUACCUGCUGAAUCUUUUCCGCCUCUGGUGGCACUACGGCAUCAGCUUCCUGAGGCUGCAGAUGUGGGUGGAGGAGGUCAUGGAGAAGUUCAUGAGGUAGGGCUGGCGGAGCUGUGGGGAUGGCGUUCCAGGGGGACCAAGAAGAGGUGGAGGAGGAACCAGCUUGACUGUACAUUGUGAAAAAGGAAAAGGUCCUUGCUGAAUUGAGCCAGCACAAUUCAGUGCAGGCUCAGAGCAAGCCCCUGCCAUGAGGAAUGGCCAUAUUUGGUCCAGUAAUGGUCUCCCUAGUAUUGUCACAUUGACACUCAUUUUCUUACCCUCUACUACACUGAUGCUAAUAAAAGCAUGGGUCGCAAACUCAGUCGCUUAACAAAGGCUGAACUGGGGUGUGAGUCAGUGAAUCAGCAGGUGGAAGAGAGCAGAACAAGGCCCCCUCUGAAGGAAGCAGCCAGCCCUCCACCGCAGCCAUCUGCAGCCAGCCGUGUACAAUGCCCACCUCAUGUGGCUAGAUCUACUCGCUUUUCAGAAGAAGCUAGAAAUCCAGAGUUGUGUGUGAAAUCUUUCAGUUUUUCAACAUUUGCAACCAAUUCCUCUUGUAAGCCAAAUGAAACACUUCUGUAGGGCAGAUGCAGCCUGUGGACCACUCAUUUGUGAACUUUGUUGUCCUCAUUUUUCCAUCUAGAAUAAACACCUUUCUUCACUACUCCUCCUAUCGUUGGGCUCCAGCCCCCUCCCCAUCACCUUUGGUCCCAGAUAUGGAGGGCAAGUGGUCUGUUCCCUCCCUAUUCACCAAGCUGUCACUCCACCUUUCCCCAAAGUCCCUCCCGAUGGUGCUCCUUGCUUCCAGCCUAAGGCGCAGGGGCUGCUCCCCGGACCCCAUCACUGUCUGCCUCCCUUCAGUGUCACUCAGGUGUGGCCUAUGCCCUCCUGCCCUGGUUCCUGGCACUUCUCCACUCCCUUCCCAUUCUAUAACUCUGCUGUUUAUAGCACUUCUUCCUUAUAUUCUCCAGAUGUCACCCAAAGCUUAUUUCCUUACCUCUCUUUCUGAUAUUUUUCUCCCUUAUCAAUUAUAUCCAAACCAAUAAUGUUGACUUCUACAUUUUAUGGGAAAUGACUUCUCCCUCUCAGCCCUCAUUUCCUCUUCACUUCCAGACCCACAUUUCUACUUUCUGGACACCUCCAUCUGGUGUCCUAUUGAUAACCAAACUCAACAUGUUUACAAAAGAAGCCCUAGAAUGGGCAACAUUUCAAAGGCCAGCCAGUAGGGAAAUCCAUCAAUGGUUCCAAUCCAUGCUAGUGAGAUUGCAUGAGUGAUAGAGCGACAGUACAUGAGCCUGGGGGUGAGUGGGAGCCCUGUCAGAUCAAGGCAGAGGAGAGGACAGGCUGGACUGGCAGAGAAGGUGACAGUAUCAGCAUGAAGUUGCAGCGUGCCAUCAGGUCCUAGAAGCUGUGGCAGAGCUGACACUGUUGAAGAAGGAGAUGUGUCAGCAGGGGUGGGCCGUAGCCCCAGCUGGGUGAAGAAAGGGUUAUGAACUAUGACCUCAGGCAGGGAGUGGCUCAGAGCAGUGAUACAGUUGUUAUUCAGCACAGCCGUGAUGUGAAGCCAGGCCUAGAAGGAUUCCAUACCUUCACUCUCCCUUUAGGUGGAACAGACCCACCACAGUCAGAGAACAGGUGCCAGGGAACAUAACCAGCCUCCUCUCCCACCACUCCAUGUAGAGGAAGUGAUGGGUUCCUGGUGGGCCUCCCAGGCACUAUGACCCAGGGGCAGGUGGUCAGGCAAAAAGCCUUCCUGCACAAGGACUCCAGCUCUAUGUGUCUUCUAGGAUCUACAAGUACCAGGCCCACGGCUAUGCCUUCUCGGGUGUGGAGGAGCUGCUCUACUCACUGGGGGAGUCCACCUUUGUUAACAUGACCCAGCACUCUGUGGCCGAGUCCCUGCUGCAGGUGGGCGUCACGCAGCGCUUUAUUGAUGACGUCGUUUCUGCUGUCCUGCGGGCCAGCUAUGGCCAGUCAGCAGCGAUGCCCGCCUUUGCAGGAGCCAUGUCACUAGCCGGGGCCCAAGGCAGCCUGUGGUCUGUGGAAGGAGGCAAUAAGCUGGUUUGUUCCGGUUUGCUGAAGCUCACCAAGGCCAAUGUGAUCCAUGCCACAGUGACCUCUGUGACCCUGCACAGCACAGAGGGGAAAGCCCUGUACCAGGUGGCAUAUGAGAAUGAGGUAGGCAACAGCUCUGACUUAUAUGACAUCGUGGUCAUCGCCACCCCCCUGCACCUGGACAACAGCAGCAGCAACUUAACCUUUGCAGGCUUCCACCCGCCCAUUGAUGACGUGCAGGGCUCUUUCCAGCCCACCGUCGUCUCCUUGGUCCACGGCUACCUCAACUCUUCCUACUUCGGUUUCCCAGACCCUAAGCUUUUCCCCUUUGCCAACAUCCUCACCACAGAUUUCCCCAGCUUCUUCUGCACUCUGGACAACAUCUGCCCUGUCAACAUCUCUGCCAGCUUCCGGCGAAAGCAGCCCCAGGAGGCAGCUGUUUGGCGAGUCCAGUCCCCCAAGCCCCUCUUUCGGACCCAGCUAAAGACCCUCUUCCGUUCCUAUUACUCAGUGCAGACAGCUGAGUGGCAGGCCCAUCCCCUCUAUGGCUCCCGCCCCACGCUCCCGAGAUUUGCACUCCAUGACCAGCUCUUCUACCUCAAUGCCCUGGAGUGGGCGGCCAGCUCUGUGGAGGUGAUGGCCGUGGCUGCCAAGAAUGUGGCCUUGCUGGCUUACAACCGCUGGUACCAGGACCUAGACAAGAUUGAUCAAAAAGAUUUGAUGCACAAGGUCAAGACUGAACUAUGAGGGCUCUGGGGAGAGCCCGGGAACUUUCAUCCCCCACUGAAGAUGGAUCACCCCACAGCAGCCCAGGACUGAAUAAGCCAUGCUCGCCCACCAGGCUUCUUUCUGACCCCUCAUGUAUCAAGCAUCUCCAGGUGACCUACUGUCUGCCUAUAUUAAGGGUCCACACAGUGGCUGCUGCUUUUUUUUUAAGGGGGAAAGUAAGAAAAGAGAAGGAAAUCCAAGCCAGUAUAUUUGUUUUAUUUAUUUUUUUUAAGAAGAAAAAAGUUCAUCUUCACAAGGUGCUUCAGACUUGGUUUCUUAGCUAGAAACCAGAAGACUACAGGAGGGAAUAUAAGGCAGAGAACUAUGAGUCCUAUUUUAUUACUGUUUUUCACUACCUACUCCCACAAUGGACAAUCAAUUGAGGCAACCUACAAGAAAACAUUUACAACCGGAUGGUUACAAAUAAAGUAGAAGGGAAGAUCAGAAAACCUAAGAAAUGAUCAUAGCUCCUGGUUACUGUGGACUUGCUAGGUUUGAGGUACCUAGUUCAGAACUCCCUAGUCACCAUCUCCAGGCCUGUCAACAUCACUGCAUAUUGGAGGAGAUGACUGUGGUAGGACCCAAGGAAGAGAUGUGUGCCUGAACAGUCGUCACCAUAUCUCCAAGCUUCCUGGCAACCAGUGGGAAAAGAGAAACAUGCGAGGCUGUAGGAAGAGGGAAGCUUUUCCUUGGCACCUAGAGGAAUUAGCCAUUCUCUUCCUUAUGCAAAGAUUGAGAAAUGCAACGAUAUAAAGAAGAGAAGUCCCCAGAUGGUAGAGAGCAGUCAUAUCUCACCCCUAGAUGUUCAUCCCAGCAGAAGAAAAAGAAAAGAAGGUGUUGGGGUAGGAUUCUUCAGAGGUUAGCCUGGUACCUUCUCAUCAGACACUAGCUUGAAGUAAGAGGAGAAUUAUGCUUUUCUUUGCUUUUUCUACAAACCCUUAAAAAUCACUUGUUUUAAAAAGAAAGUAAAAGCCCUUUUCAUUCC
rnacentral:sRNA from 1 species